rnacentral:rRNA from 1 species
UACGUAGGGGCCAAGCGUUGUCCGGAUUUAUUGGGCCUAAAGCAUCCGUAGCCGGUUCUGCAAGUCCCCCGUUAAAUCCAGCUGCUCAACAGAUGGGCCGCGGAGGAUACUACAGAGCUAGGAGGCAGGAGAGGCAAGCGGUACUCAGUGGGUAGGGGUAAAAUCCGUUGAUCCAUUGAAGACCACCAGUGGCGAAGGCGGCUUGCCAGAAUGCGCUCGACGGUGAGGGAUGAAAGCUGGGGGAGCAAACCGG